rnacentral:lncRNA from 1 species
UUUACUUUUAUUUUAAGUGUUUUGGAUGUGGGAGAUGAUUUCAAAAUUCUGAUCAAGUCUAUUAGUCCACAAAGGAAUUAGAGAAGUCCUUCGUGAGGUUGCUGAUAAAAAAGGAGAGGACGAUGAGAUCAGUUAGCGAAACGAUGACCAACAACUCAUUGACAGUUUCAAAACCUGAUUUGGUUGGUCAGCAGAAUGAUCAAAGAUACAUUCUAGUUACAAUGGAGGUGAAAGAAAACUCCUUAAUAAUCCAGUUAUGAUGAGUGAUGAUUCUGUGUCGUUCAUGAAAGCACAAGUAUACGGAAUAAAUCCAAAGGGAAGGAUAUCAAUAUGUUGACACUAUGAAAAAAAGCUGAAACCAAACUGCAACAAAAGCAAUCGACAAAGAUAAACCUUCAAAUGCUACAGGUUCUACAGCAUUGAUGAAAAAUGAAACCAGAAUGGAAGCCAAAGGCUCAAAUAAUUGCAAAGAUAUUCAUAUUCAAAACUUUAUCCUGCAUUUAUACUGCCUACAGAGACAAACAGUCUUUGUGUGUUGAAAGGGUUUGACUCUUCUUUGGCUCAUGGCCGAAAGUAUGGUUUUGUCGGCCGAGAUCGAUUUGGAAAAACGACGUUGCUCCAUGAUUUCAUUAGGGCAAUGACGGACUCCGUCCCACAUUUCCAUAUAACUUGUUGAACAGGAAGUUGUCGAUGACGAAUCUCCAGCUAUUCAUAGGUAUUGGAGUGCGAUUUCAAAAGAGAGGCUUUACUCAAAGAGGAGAAGAAACUUUGUGAAAAAAUGAAACGAUCCUGAAAUGAACAAGCUAUUGAUGCUGACAAAGCACCAACGAAAGCGGCGCAGAUUUUGGCCGUCUUUGGUUUCUCUCCAGAGGGCUAGGCCAGUUUAGAGCGACUAAAACUUUUUCCGGUGGAUGGAGAAUACGUUAGCUUUGGCGAGAGCACUUUUCUCCAAUCCAAAUUUUCUCCUCGAUGAACCGACGAACAUGUUGGAGUUGGACAUGAAAGCUAACAUUUGGCUUCUUUCGGGUACACUAUAAUUAUUAAUUAUAUUCUCUCUUUAAUAGAGUGUUAACCUAGUCACCCACGAGCGUAUUAAGUUAAACGUUAUUAUACCGUCACGUCCAAACGUUAUAUGGCAUACUGAAAGGAUCUUUUCCCAUCCAUGUCAAACUGUCGGCUGGAUCCAACUCAAGAAUCUGCAUCGUUGGUGAAAACAGUGCCGGCAAGACCACUCUUUUGAAGAUUCUUACUGGGGAAUUGAAUCUCAAGUCUGGAAUUCGGCACAAUAGCAGACAUUUACGCAUAGGUUAUUUCAGCCGGAAUCUACGUUGAUCAGCUUAAUCUUUCAUUACGUCCUGUCGAGUUGUUGCAAACCAAAUUUCCCGUUUUGGUGCAUCGUUGACCUUGCCCCGUUCAGAAUUUGAAAACCGAACAUUGCUAGUCUCUCUAGAUGUCAGAAAUCUCGCGUGGCCCGGCCCGGCCUAAUUUCCUCAUCCUUGACGAGACGACCAAUCACUUGAAUAUUGAAACGAUCGAAGCCCUUGAAAAAGCCUUGGGGAGAUUUUUGGGUGGUGUCGCUCUAGUUUCUUACGACGAGCGUCUUAUCCGAAUGAUUUGCAAGGAGUUGUGGGUCUGCGCCGGAGAUGGUUCAGUACGCUCGAUUGAGGGCGGCUUCAACGAACAUUCGCAAGAUAUUGCAGAGUUAACUUCAAGAGAUCAACAAAUAGCUUAAUUAAUUGUAAAUAAGCUCAUGUUAGUAAAAUAAUUUUUUUAACCUGUUACCUUACGUAUGAUUUUUUGGGUCGUGAUGCGAUGUGUUUAUUUUCGAAAAUUUUCUUAUUUUCUGCUAUUUAAAAUUUUUAAAAUAGAAUUUGAUGAGUUUGCAAAAGUGAUGGUCAAAGCUUAAUUUCUUUUCUUUUUUUUUUUUAGUUUGUAGAACUUAAAGCGCUUAAUGCAUUAAGAAGUUAGAGAAUAUGAGCUAAAACAAAAAGUGAGCCGGUCGCCCCACUCUCCUCUGUCAGUUGCAAAUGAUGGUUUGCUUACGAAAAUUUUAUUCCUAAUAAAUGAGUCAAAAAUUUAUGAAACUGGGAAAAAUUUUUAGGGGA